GCCGAGGUGGCUCAGUGGUAGAGCAGCCCCAUGGUAAGGGGCAGGUCGUGGGUCCGAUUCCCACUCUCGGCU
rnacentral:tRNA from 1 species